rnacentral:lncRNA from 1 species
AAGUCGUUGGAGAAGGGUGGCUCUUUGAAAGGACACAGGAACGGGAGCAUUUCUUUCCUCAUCACUGUUUCACAAGAUCAGAGGGCUCUGGUAACAUUCACCAUGGUGACCACGAAUCUGAGUUGUGCACAGCCACCGGAUCUGCCCGCCUCCACCUCCAUCUGGACCUACAAGUACUGAUUCACCAGGUUCUGGCUCUGCCAAGGCUGAGUGAUCAAUGGCUUUGUCUCGCUUCUGUACCCUCAUCUGCCCCAGUCCUUCCUUCAGCAUUCGCUCAACCAUGUUGGACACCAUAAGGUCACACUGAGCCAGGGUGCACAUAAAACCCAAUAAAUCCUCCUGUUUCCUGUUGGUCUUUCCGCUCUCUUUCAUCCCACAACAGCCUUUCAAAAAAUUAUUUAUUUUUAAAGCCAGGGGUGGUGGCACAUGGCUGUGAUCCCAGCGCUCUGGAGGCUGAGGCAGAAGGAUCACCAGGAGUUUGAGGCCACCCUGAACUAUACAGUAAGACUGUUUCAAAAAAUUUAAAAAAAAUUAUUUUGAGAUAAGGUCUCACUAAGUUUCCCAAGCUGGCCUCAAACUGGUGAUUCUCCUGCCUCAGCCUCCCAGAAAUGAUUUUGCAGGGAGAUAGAUCUUUUGCAAAUAGAAAAAGGAUCAAGUGAUGGAGGGAAGCGGGGGGAGCAGGGGGGUCGGGGCCAUACAAAGACUUGAAGUGUGUUAUUGUGACAAGCACACACCAACU